CCCUUAGAUGUUCUGGGCUGCACCCGUGCUACACUGGCAGGUUCAGCGAGCUUCAUGCCCUGAUCUGAAAGGAAUGGGAAAUCUUUUCAAAACCUGCCGUGCUUGGGAUAGAUGUUUGCAAUUAUUCAUCUUCAACGAGGAUUGCCUUGUAAGCGCACGUCAUCAGCGUGCAUUGAAUACGACCCUGUAUUCUGUACACACCGCCCGUCGCUCCUACCGAUUGAAGUUUUCGGUGAGUUGACAGGAGGAUUUUUUUGAAACUGGUUCGCCAGUGGAUUUUAGAUCCAAAUGCCAACGAAUCGAUGGCUUUAGAGGAAGGAGAAGGCGUAACA
rnacentral:rRNA from 1 species